GACAAAAUGUUUGCAAGGAGGAAGAUGUUAGAGAAGAUUGGUGUUUCAAAGAUUUCCUUGCUGGAGAGAAGAGAGGCAUGGAUGGGCCUGGGGAGAGAAGCCAUGUGUCCUGCUUCCUAGCAGAACCCCAGGUGAAACUCUUCUCCUCUGAGAAGCCACGAGCCUGCCUCUCCAGUGUGCAGUGUGAAUCUAAACCUAGGGUUCAUGAUAAAGGCAGGAUAGACUGAUGCCAGGGACUUAAUUCCAAAAACUAACUGUAAUUAACCAUGAGGAGGACCCGAGAGUGAGGACUGUGAUUCUCUAACCUGGACCAAGCCGAUUAUUUGGGAUGACUGAAGGUCAUGAGUUCCUCUCCCAGAACAGCAGAGGAACUCAAAGCUGUCCCUUGAGAGGAAGCCUCUCUACCUUCUGAUGCCCCCUUACCCUGUGCAGGGAGGAUAUAAAGAUGGAUUUUGAAUAGCCCCUGCUGAGUUAUCAUCACUAGACCUGGCCUACAAGCAAUGCAUAAUGGAGUUCUUCAGAUUGAAAGGAAAAGAUACUAGAUAGUAGAUCAAAGCUGCAUAAAGAAAUAUCAAUCUCCAUUAAAGACUGCAUGUUUGUGCUGAGGUGCAAAUUCUCAGAGACUCCCAAAGAAAUAAAAGAAACUGGAACUGCCAACAGAAUCCCAGGACAAUAGCUGCUAAGCUGUAGCCAUUUCCUCCCAAAGUUGGAAAUCCCUAUCGCUUCACCUCCUGAGGAUCAGCUUAGGUCUAUAAGCACCUUGAUCUUCAAGUGCUUCAACUUAAAAGUACUGAUACUCUAAAGAUGACUUGAAGAGGAGAGCUGGAUCAUUCUGAGAACCAGAAAGAAGUCCUAGUAAAAACUGGAGUCCACUUUCUCAGAUCCCAUGGAACAUCACAGGGCUGUACCACUUGGACUUCUGUGGAUGGAUGCAUCUUUUAAACGUAAAUUGAGCAUUCCUAUCGAAGAAUUCAGUGUAUGUGUAUGCAUUUGCUUUCACCUGCAUAUGGUACAUCAGGAAGUAUAAACAGAAAACUGCUUUCCAUGGAGGGGAA